UACGGAGGGGGCUAGCGUUGUUCGGAAUUACUGGGCGUAAAGCGCACGUAGGCGGACUGUUAAGUCGGGGGUGAAAUCCUGGGGCUCAACCUCAGAAUUGCCUCCGAUACUGGCAGUCUCGAGUGCGGGAGAGGUGAGUGGAAUUCCCAGUGAUAGAGGUGAAAUUCGUAGAUAUUGGGAAGAACACCAGUGGCGAAGGCGGCUCACUGGCCCGUAACUG
rnacentral:rRNA from 1 species